rnacentral:lncRNA from 1 species
ACGCUCCAUUUGAACUCCCAACUCGGGAUCGCUUAUCAGUUUGGGAGUUUGGAGCAGGUUGGCGAAUCAUUUGAAUCAGUUUGGGGAUCGCGAAUCAUUUGAGUCAGUUCGGGAGUUCGGAACGGGAUCGCGAAUCAUUUGAAUCAGUUUCGGGAGUUCGUAGCGGGUUCGCCAGGGGCGGAUCUACUGGGGUGGCAUGGGGUGGCAAAUGUCACCCUAAAAGAAAGCCUUGCCACCCCAGUUGACAGCAACAAAUUAAAAGUUACGAGCACGAAUCUCCCAUGUCCCAGAGAGGAGAGGACGACAGAGCGCAAGAGACUAUAUUUUACAUUUGUUUGGAAAACUUUAUGAGUGCGCGCAAAGCGAAAGGAAACAUGAGUCAUGAAGAGACACAGGAGGAAAGAGAUAUUGCAGAUCUGGAGAAAAAUGAAGCACUGCUAAUCUUACCAUCUUUAUUCAGAGAAAACAUCAAGUUUCUCUUCUGUCUGGACAAUUUUUACAGAUGUUAUUAAGGAACCUUAAGAUCCUGUCUGGGAUGAAGUGGAACAUUUGUGGACUCCUGCUCAUUUUACCUGCCCUCUUCAGCAUAUCUGCAGAAGGAAAGAAAAACUGUAAAGAAGGAAAUCAUGGACAUGUAUGUAGUCCUGUCAUGAGGGAAAAUAAACAAAAUCAGGAUGGAACUGAUAUGGAGAUGGAUAUGUUUAUACUGGGUGAUGAUGGUUUCAUGGGAUACAUUGAAGCAGGUAAAUGUAUUAAUGGUAAAUGGGACCCAAAGGCGAGCCAGUCUACUAUUCUGUGCAAUUCUAGUGGAUCAUUAGUAACACCAAAACCAAUCAACAUGACUGUCUUUUCGUAUGAAGAAAAUACAGCUUAUACAGAAAGCUUGUUUAACAACAGUGACUAUGGUGUGAUUUUAUCAAGAUACUCACCAUACAAUCUCAGCAUAAACAGAGCUGUUAUACCCACAUUUGUCUGUUUAAUUGAAGGGAAUUGCACAAAUAUUACUUUGAACACUUGGAUUAAUCAAGGUGAAUGAAGAGAUCUUUUAUGUUCCUUUUAUUCAUUUGGUAGCCUGUGAUUUUAGAAGUGUAUGAAAACAAUAUAAUCCUUGGGUUUCUUUCAACUUUAAAUGUCCAGUGUCAAAUUUAUUCACUAUAUAUUUGCUAUAUUACAAGUGUUUUGCUUUAUGCAGAUCAGAUAUCUAAUAGUAUGUUUUUGUUCUUUUUAUCAAAGGAUGUAACUGGACUAACAAAACCACAGAAUAUUUUGAAUACAAAAGUGAGGACAAUUCUAAAAAAUGUAAGUGUUAUAUUAAUAUUAAAGAUAUAUUAGACUAAUAAAAGAAUUCUG